AGUGAACGCUGGCGGUAGGCCUAACACAUGCAAGUCGAACGGCAGCACAGUAAGAGCUUGCUCUUACGGGUGGCGAGUGGCGGACGGGUGAGGAAUACAUCGGAAUCUACUUUUUCGUGGGGGAUAACGUAGGGAAACUUACGCUAAUACCGCAUACGACCUACGGGUGAAAGCAGGGGAUCUUCGGACCUUGCGCGAUUGAAUGAGCCGAUGUCGGAUUAGCUAGUUGGCGGGGUAAAGGCCCACCAAGGCGACGAUCCGUAGCUGGUCUGAGAGGAUGAUCACCCACACUGGAACUGAGACACGGCCCACACUCCUACGGGGGGCAGCAGGGGGAAAUAUUGGACAAGGGGCGCAAGCUGGAUCCAGCCAUACCGCGUGGGUAAAGAGGGCUUUCGGGUUGAAAAGCCCUUUUUUGGGAAAAAAAAGGCAGCGGGUUAAUACCCCGCUGUUCGAACGUAACCCAAAAAAAAGGCACCGCCAAACUCGUG
rnacentral:rRNA from 1 species